rnacentral:lncRNA from 13 species
GUCUAGCUGGUUCCAGUGUGAACGUGGGCAGUAUUCCCAGGAACCUCCUGCACCAAGCCUCUGCUGGGAAAAGCCAUCCAGGAUGCCCGGAAGUACGGCUGGAAGUUUGAGAAACAGGGUGAGAUUUGGAGAGGGUCUGGGGCUGCAGUUACAGUGCAGGAUAUGUAUUUGGGGCAUCAGUUCUAUUAUAGUCUAGAUAUGUAUCUUAUUCCAUUGAAUCAAUAUUGAAUGUGUGUGUUAUCUUUAGUUAUUUGCAUCCUAUCCAGAGUUUAAAUGCUAGUGGUUGAUUAGAUGUGUGCGUUGCUAUGUGUUAUAAUGGUCUGUUGUUAUGUGUUAUUAUGGCCUGUAGUGUCCCAUGGCGGGGGUGAAAUGGUGGAGGCGGUACAACAACAUGUGAAGUCUGUGAGCUUCGAGCUGAGGAGGGAGCUGAGGGACAGUGAUGUCACCUACCUGAACGCCCAUGGAGAGAUACUGGAGCCACACACUGUACAGGAGCGUGUGGUAGGUCUCCAUUUGAUGGGGCCCAGUGCAGGGGAGGUGAUCCAGGGCUUUGCUGUGGCUCUGAGGUGUGGUCUGAUCAAAUAGCAGCUGGACACCACUGUAGGACACCACUGUGGGACUCCACUCUGUUUGUGCCCAGGUCAGUACGCCAGUUUACUUUCCUCUCCAUUGCACUAACUAAUGUAUGGUGAACAAUCCGGCACAAAAUGGCCACCGUAUAUUAUCAAAAGUCCAGCAGUCCCAGAUCAACUGUCUCUGAUGGUUUGCUUGCUGCUAAUGCUCCCUGUGUGAAUUAUUCAUAUACUUACAUUACAAACCACAUCACACACAGUCCAUUUCCUAUAAGCUAAUACAGGAUGGAGCCCUCAGACCAAUGUUCUUCUGGGCUGCUUUUCACUCUCCUGACACU